UGUCCGGAUUUACUGGGUGUAAAGGGUGCGUAGGCGGCUUUGCAAGUCAGAUGUGAAAUCUAUGGGCUCAACCCAUAAACUGCAUUUGAAACUGUAGAGCUUGAGUGAAGUAGAGGCAGGCGGAAUUCCCCGUGUAGCGGUGAAAUGCGUAGAGAUGGGGAGGAACACCAGUGGCGAAGGCGGCCUGCUGGGCUUUAACUGACGCUGAGGCACGAAAGCGUGGGUAGCAAACAGGAUUAGAUACCCUGGUAGUCCACGCUGUACAACGAUGAUUACUAGGUGUGGGGGG
rnacentral:rRNA from 1 species